rnacentral:rRNA from 1 species
UACGUAGGGUGCAAGCGUUAAUCGGAAUUACUGGGCGUAAAGCGUGUGCAGGCGGUUCUGUUAGUCAGGCGUGAAAUUCCUGGGCUCAACCUGGGGGCUGCGCUUGAUACGGCGGAACUAGAGGAUGGAAGAGGCUCGUGGAAUUCCCAGUGUAGAGGUGAAAUUCGUAGAUAUUGGGAAGAACACCGGUGGCGAAGGCGGCGAGCUGGUCCAUUACUGACGGCUGAGGCGCGACGCGUGGGGAGCAAACAGG